GCAUUGGUGGUUCAGUGGUAGAAUUCUCGCCUUUCAUGCAGGAGACCGGGGUUGGUUCCCGGCCAAUACG
rnacentral:tRNA from 1 species